CGUGGGGCCAGCAGCAGGUCACAGGGACGAGCUCGCCCUGUUCCACAUCAGCGAGACACAGCGGCAGUCACAGACGGCAGGCCAGCACUGAAGGCAGAACAGACAGGUGCCUGGGCGGGUAACUUGCUGUUCACUGUGCGAACCUAGGGUGAGACUCGGGUAGUUCUGGCUUGCAGAUAUGAUGGGGUUAUUCCUAGUGUAAGAGAAAAAAUUACCCAAAUCAAAUAGAUUAAAAACCAUGUUGGCUCAUGCCAGGAAAGCCAUUAAUAUAACUAAAUGCUGUUGACAGGGAAAAAGAUAAAAAUCACAUGUCAAAGCCGGGGAGGGGAGGAUUUGAUUAAAGAUGGCCUAACUGAUUCAGCAGCAGCAAUUAAGGUAGCUCUUCAAGUGGUGCAGCUCACCCUGCCAGGAGGCCAGGAGGGAGGCAGCGGGUCUGGCUCGUCGCUCGCACCAGCGUUACACUGCUGACACAGCUCCACGAAGAGCAGAGCAGAAUCGGGCCCGAACCGCCUGUGGCAACGUUACAGGAUCAGAUAAGACACCUCAGGAAUGCAGCAACCAACCAAGCUCCAAUGGUCCUGUCCCCAGCAUAAAAGCCAGACCAGAUUUUAGGAAAAUGCAUCAGAGGAACAAAAUGAAUCACAACACUUUGCAAGACAACCUAUCUCAUACCGGUGGAUGAGGCCUCGCCAGCUGAAUGUCAGUCUCAUGAUUAAAAGAAGCAAUUUUCAGCCAGCACACAGGCACGCCUUCCACCUGAGAAAGACCCAAGGAAAUAGAAGGAAAGAAACAGAAGUAUCAGAAACACCACUUCUGGAACCAGGAAAGGAUGCUGUCUAGAAGCUCUGAUACCUGCCCAGCUGCUUGUGAUUCUGCAGCACUCCCCCAGGAACUCGAACACAGAGUAAUGACUGGCGGUCUCUAGAGAAAAGCUUCACUCAAACAAAAUGCAUUGGCUUAAGAGGGAUAAACGAUGAAGCUCUACAGCCCGUGCUGCCACACAGGAGCUCAGAUAAAAUGAUACGAUGACAUACAGCGGUCAUAAAAUCUGAGGUCUUAUCAGUCCAACUUGGUUAGGUCUCUGAAUAAGCCUAGCAUCACUGUUGAGUCCAACUUGCACAGCUUUCCUUGUUCAGGCACAGGGAAAACAAGGUGGUAUGUAUAAAGCCUCACUCAUGCCAAUAAAAAUGUACUACA